rnacentral:rRNA from 1 species
GAUGAACGCUGGCGGCGUGCCUAAUACAUGCAAGUCGAGCGAACAGACGAGGAGCUUGCUCCUCUGACGUUAGCGGCGGACGGGUGAGUAACACGUGGAUAACCUACCUAUAAGACUGGGAUAACUUCGGGAAACCGGAGCUAAUACCGGAUAAUAUAUUGAACCGCAUGGUUCAAUAGUGAAAGACGGUUUUGCUGUCACUUAUAGAUGGAUCCGCGCCGCAUUAGCUAGUUGGUAAGGUAACGGCUUACCAAGGCAACGAUGCGUAGCCGACCUGAGAGGGUGAUCGGCCACACUGGAACUGAGACACGGUCCAGACUACUACGGGAGGCAGCAGUAGGGAAUCUUGCGCAAUGGGCGAAAGUCUGAAGGAGCAACGCCGCGUGAGUGAUGAAGGUCUUCGGAUAGUAAAACUCUGUUAUUAGGGAAGAACAAAUGUGUAAGUAACUAUGCACGUCUUGACGGUACCUAAUCAGAAAGCCACGGCUAACUACGUG